GUGGAUGGGUUCAGGGUAGAAGAGCCGUUGCCGCUGCCGCUCUCAGACGAGGAGUCAUCUGGAACAAGAGCCGCGGCUGGUCUUCCUGGGUUCUUGAUGCGGGAGCCCCCUGCUGUGGAGAGUACAACACUGCAGGAUCCAGAGGGUAAACUUCAGCUCCGAGGGAAUAUACAUCGUUAGAUAAAUCCCAGGAUUCUCUCUCCACAGGUCCCAGCCUCCUGCUUCCUUAGCUGGGGCCACAGCAGCUUCUCUAGACCUCCUGGGGUCACUGUCAGCCGCUUCCAAGUUAUGCCUUCUACUCUGGGACCAUCACCCAUAAGCCACUUGACCGACCUGGAAGGGCAUAGAUGCCUUCUCUGGAAGAAGAGGCUGCUUUUCAUCAGACACCAUGCCAACAGUCACUGCAUUUACCACAGGCACCAAGGCUUUAAGGGCAGCUACAGUGUCAUACCCUGCAUGGGGACAGAGAAGGACCUUGUCUGCCUGCUUGGAGCAAGCAGCAUGUUUGUGGCUGUGGAGCUGCCCAGCACACACAGGGCAAUCCUAGGGUCUCAACCAAGGUCCAAGUCAGCUGUGUUGAGAAGCUGCCAACACUAGCACCUCAGCUGCAGGCCCAGGCUCACGCUGCCUGAGGGGCACCCAUCUCUUUAUUGUCAGAUACCAUCCCUGUCUGGCAAGGCAAGUGGCUGAAUGGAUGAGGCACCCAGGAUACCAGAGCCUGGGAACUGCUGUGGCCACGGACUGCAAACAUACAGAAGGAACUGGAACCCAAACCAUUAUGUAAAUAUCCAGAAUUAAAAUCUCAGAGGCCAGUGUACACUAUUAGAACUUUUGAAAGCCCCUAGAAGUGAAUAGGUAAAGUGUGAUCUAGCCAUCCAAUAGAAGACUUGACUUUGAAUGAAAUUUAGAUACAUGCUGCUGCAACAUGGAGGAACCAUAAGGACAUUAUGCUAUGUGAAAUAAGACAGACACAAAAGGAUAAAUAGUGAAUGAUCCCACUUAACUGCACAGGCUAGAACAGGCGCAUUCACAGAGGCAGAGGGUGAAGUGGGGCUCCCCCACGCCUGAAGAGGGGACACAGAGCUGCUGUCUGGCAUGAUGAGAAGUUUGGGAAAUAAACAGUGCUGACUAUA